rnacentral:rRNA from 1 species
UACGAAGGGGGCUAGCGUUGUUCGGAUUUACUGGGCGUAAAGCGCACGUAGGCGGAUCGAUCAGUCAGGGGUGAAAUCCCCGGGCUCAACCCGGGAACUGCGUCCGAUACUGGAAGGCUUGAAUCCGGGAGAGGGAUGUGGAAUUCCAGGUGUAGCGGUGAAAUGCGUAGAUAUCUGGAGGAACACCGGUGGCGAAGGCGACAUCCUGGACCGGUAUUGACGCUGAGGCGCGAAAGCCAGGGGAGCAAACGGG